ACAAGUAGCGGAGCAUGUGGUUUAAUUCGAAGCAACGCGAAGAACCUUACCUAAGCUUGACAUCCCAAUGACAUCUCCUUAAUCGGAGAAUUCCCUUCGGGGACAUUGGUGACAGGUGGUGCAUGGUUGUCGUCAGCUCGUGUCGUGAGAUGUUGGGUUAAGUCCCGCAACGAGCGCAACCCUUGUCUUUAGUUGCCAUCAUUAAGUUGGGCACUCUAGAGAGACUGCCAGGGAUAACCUGGAGGAAGGUGGGGAUGACGUCAAAUCAUCAUGCCCCUUAUGCUUAGGGCUACACACGUGCUACAAUGGGUAGUACAGAGGGUUGCCAAGCCGUAAGGUGGAGCUAAUCCCUUAAAGCUACUCUCAGUUCGGAUUGUAGGCUGAAACUCGCCUACAUGAAGCUGGAGUUACUAGUAAUCGCAGAUCAGAAUGCUGCGGUGAAUGCGUUCCCGGGUCUUGUACACACCGCCCGUCACACCACGGGAGUUGGAGACGCCCGAAGCCGAUUAUCUAACCU
rnacentral:rRNA from 1 species